rnacentral:rRNA from 1 species
AGUGAACGCUGGCGGUAGGCCUAACACAUGCAAGUCGAACGGCAGCACAGUAAGAGCUUGCUCUUACGGGUGGCGAGUGGCGGACGGGUGAGGAAUACAUCGGAAUCUACUUUUUCGUGGGGGAUAACGUAGGGAAACUUACGCUAAUACCGCAUACGACCUACGGGUGAAAGCAGGGGAUCUUCGGACCUUGCGCGAAUGAAUGAGCCGAUGUCGGAUUAGCUAGUUGGCGGGGUAAAGGCCCACCAAGGCGACGAUCCGUAGCUGGUCUGAGAGGAUGAUCAGCCACACUGGAACUGAGACACGGUCCAGACUCCUACGGGAGGCAGCAGUGGGGAAUAUUGGACAAUGGGCGCAAGCCUGCUCCAGCCAUACCGCGUGGGUGAAGAAGGCCUUCGGGUUGUAAAGCCCUUUUGUUGGGAAAGAAAAGCAGCAGGUUAAUACCCCGCUGUCCUGACGGUACCCAAAGAAUAAGCACCGGCUAACUUCGUG